UCGCGUCGGCGGAGCAGCGUGAGGGAUGCUUUCCGCAGACUCCCGCCAACCAGGAAACCCUGAGAUCCUAAAGGGCUAAAGAGAGCCUCAACAUCUUUUUUAUAUUGCAGUGACCAAAACUGGAUACAGUAUUCCAAUCAUAGUCUUAUCAAGGUCCGUGUACUGGAUAUUGGAGCAUGGGGUCUCAGAUUUGGGAAGCAGACCUGGGUUGUAUACAUCCAGAUGAGCAUGAAUUUAGAUGGCAGUAAAACUGACAGCCAAUUCCCAUCAUCCUCAGGCCGGAAGGAGGAUUGUGACAGAUUCGCAUGUCUAGUAUGAGGAUGUGAUUUGGAGUCCAUCACAUCUUGGAAGUCUGUAAUGUAUUCAGUGUGAGUGAAGGAUAACGUGGACAGUGCUGUAACAGUUUCUGAAAGAAGAACUAGAAGAGCCUGUGCAAGAACAGAGUGUGCUCUCAUGGUUUGGGGAGGCAGCAGAGGCCAUGGAAGAGCAUUCUCUGAAGCUGUUUGAAGAACCAAGGCCUUGUGCAACUUGGAGCCAUCUCAAGUAGGUCGCAGGGACCUGUCAGAAAGAGGACACCACCUGAAGCAGACAGCCCAUCACUACUGUCUAGCAACAAGAAAGUUACAAGAAAUUUACAAGUUAAAAGGACACCUUAGAAGGAUGCCAGCUACAAGGCACGUAGAUAUAUAACCUUUGAUAACCUCAUUAUAAUAGUAAAUCAUGUUUUGAUAAGAAAGCUUAUUAUUAUUAACAUGCAAUGUGUGAAGAAGGAGGGUAAAGCCGAAGAAACCAACCAAAAGAAACGUGUCAAGGAACCAAUGACUUAUUCUUAGGGUGUUAACUUGCUUAUCAUAGCUGUAUAAAGUUUAUAUUUGUACAUUGUUUUGGGUCUUGGCUCCUUUAGCUGCUAAGACCUUUUUGCUGGAGUAUUGCAAUAAAAGAAGCUGAA